rnacentral:rRNA from 1 species
AUUGAACGCUGGCGGCAUGCCUUACACAUGCAAGUCGAACGGCAGCACGGGAGCAAUCCUGGUGGCGAGUGGCGAACGGGUGAGUAAAGUAUCGGAACGUGCCCAGUCGUGGGGGAUAACGUAGCGAAAGUUACGCUAAUACCGCAUACGAUCUAUGGAUGAAAGCGGGGGAUCGCAAGACCUCGCGCGAUUGGAGCGGCCGAUAUCAGAUUAGGUAGUUGGUGGGGUAAAGGCUCACCAAGCCGACGAUCUGUAGCUGGUCUGAGAGGACGACCAGCCAGACUGGGACUGAGACACGGCCCAGACUCCUACGGGAGGCAGCAGUGGGGAGUUUUGGACAAUGGGCGAAAGCCUGAUCCAGCCAUGCCGCGUGCAGGAUGAAGGCCUUCGGGUUGUAAACUGCUUUUGUACGGAACGAAAAGGUUUGGCCUAAUAAGCUGAGCUCAUGACGGUACCGUAGGAAUAAGCACCGGCUAACUACGUGCCAGCCGCCGCGGUAA